UACAGAGGUCUCAAGCGUUGUUCGGAUUCAUUGGGCGUAAAGGGUGUGUAGGUGGCGCCGUAAGUCGGGUGUGAAAUUUCGGAGCUUAACUCCGAAACUGCAUUCGAUACUGCGGUGCUUGAGGACUGGAGAGGAGACUGGAAUUCAUGGUGUAGCAGUGAAAUGCGUAGAGAUCAUGAGGAAGACCAGUGGCGAAGGCGGGUCUCUGGACAUUUCCUGACGCUGAGGCACGAAAGCCAGGGGAGCAAACGGG
rnacentral:rRNA from 1 species